rnacentral:rRNA from 1 species
GACGAACGCUGGCGGCGUGCCUAAUACAUGCAAGUUGAGCGCUGAAGGUUGGUACUUGUACCAACUGGAUGAGCAGCGAACGGGUGAGUAACGCGUGGGGAAUCUGCCUUUGAGCGGGGGACAACAUUUGGAAACGAAUGCUAAUACCGCAUAAAAACUUUAAACACAAGUUUUAAGUUUGAAAGAUGCAAUUGCAUCACUCAAAGAUGAUCCCGCGUUGUAUUAGCUAGUUGGUGAGGUAAAGGCUCACCAAGGCGAUGAUACAUAGCCGACCUGAGAGGGUGAUUGGCCAAAUUGGGACUGAGACACGGCCCAAACUCCUACGGGAGGCAGCAGUAGGGAAUCUUCGGCAAUGGACGAAAGUCUGACCGAGCAACGCCGCGUGAGUGAAGAAGGUUUUCGGAUCGUAAAACUCUGUUGGUAGAGAAGAACGUUGGUGAGAGUGGAAAGCUCAUCAAGUGACGGUAACUACCCAGAAAGGGACGGCUAACUACGUG